UCCCUCUUUUCCCGUUACAUACACUUAGUAAAAUUUUUGUCAUUCCCUCCAAAGAACGCACCUUCAUUCAUCCUCGCAACCCUGCCUCCCUGCGCCUACUUCGUAAACCCUCGCAACCUUGCCAAUUAAUUGUUCAAAACCCUAACUCCCCUUCCAAUUAAUUGUUCAAAUGCACGCAGCCUUUCCUUUCACACACACACCCAGAUCCGAGAGAAUGAGUGAACCAGAGGGAGGAGAGGAGGAAGACAGAGAUGAGAGCACGAGCGAGAGAACAGAGAGUGAGAGGGGUCACCACCGCAACGCUGCUACAGCCGCCGCCAUCGCCGUCGUGGAGGAGGGAGUCCGGAGGAGAGAGAGAAAGACGAUUCACAGACGAGAUGGAGAGAGAGGACGAAGACGCGAUGCAAGAGAGAAGGAGGUUGUUCCGCCAUGCACUGUCGUCGCUCCUAGGGUCAAUUGAAGCCGCCGCCACUGCUAGGGCUUGCCAUGCUCUCUCCUCACUUUCGGCUUCUACGAUUACUUCCUGUUCAUACUCCCAACCUCUCUCUCUCUCCAACUUUAAUUUCAUUCUCAUUUCAAUUUCAAUUUUGAUGUCUCUGCAGGCGUUUCAUCGGUGCCGUUUUCGAUUCCAAGGGUGCGGAUGCAAUUCUCUCCUUUGAAAAGUUCUGCUGCAAUCUCCCCAGAUCUCUUCUUCAGAUCAUAUAUGAUUAAUGUGAAUGAAGAACACUAGGUUGAGUUGAAUUGAAUUGAAUCAUGGAUAAGAGCAUGUUAGCUAGUUUGGAAUCACUUCCAGAAGCUUAUCAGCAAAGAAUGGCGUCCAUGAUGGAACAAGUUCAAAUCCGUGACAGCAUGAAGGGGAUUUUUAUUGCAUUGUUAGUUUUGGCUUGCAUGGCCUUCCUGCAGCUCGAGAGGUCCAACCAAUCAAAGUAUCCAAAAUGUUUGCCAAGAAGAAUGCUAUUGGAAAAGAACAGGUGGCAAAAUUAGUGGACGACACAUAUAGAAAAAUGCAUAUAUUUGGUGCCACUGACCUUGCAUCAAAGGGACAGGGAGCCUCAGAUAGCAGUAAUGUGAAAAUUAAAGUGUGACGAUCCACGAUGCCAUGUGUGGCAGCACAUAAAUUGUGUUAUUGUUCCAGAAAAACCUAUGGAAGGUGUCCUGCCAGUACCUGAUAAAUUUUAUUGUGAACUCUGCAGACUCAGCCGUGCAGACCCGUUUUGGGUUUCAAUGGGACACCCCUUGUUUCCCGUGAAGUUGAGCAUAACAAGUCACAACUCGUGUUGGCCAUUGUCUCUGAGGGAAGCAAGUCACAC